rnacentral:SRP_RNA from 2 species
GCCGGGCGUGAUGGCUCACGCCUGUAAUCCCAGCACUUUGGGAGGCUGAGGUGGGUGGAUCACCUGAGGUCAGGAGUUCGAGACCAUCCUGACCAACAUAGUGAAACCCCAUUUCUA